UACGGACAUAUCACAUUGAAACACCAAUUCUUGUAUGAUCACUGAAGUUAAGCAAUGCCAUGUCUGGUCAGUACUUAGAUGGGUGACUGCUUAGGAAUACCAGGUUG